UUGUUGGCGUACUCUCUAAGA
rnacentral:piRNA from 1 species